GACGAACGCUGGCGGCGUGCUUAACACAUGCAAGUCGAACGAAGAGCGAUGGAAGCUUGCUUCUAUCAAUCUUAGUGGCGAACGGGUGAGUAACGCGUAAUCAACCUGCCCUUCAGAGGGGGACAACAGUUGGAAACGACUGCUAAUACCGCAUACGAUCUAAUCUCGGCAUCGAGGAUAGAUGAAAGGUGGCCUCUACAUGUAAGCUAUCACAGAAGGAGGGGAUUGCGUCUGAUUAGCUAGUUGGAGGGGUAACGGCCCACCAAGGCGAUGAUCAGUAGCCGGUCUGAGAGGAUGAACAGCCACAUUGGGACUGAGACACGGCCCAGACUCCUACGGGAGGCAGCAGUGGGGAAUCUUCCGCAAUGGACGAAAGUCUGACGGAGCAACGCCGCGUGAGUGAUGACGGCCUUCGGGUUGUAAAAGCCCCUGUUAAAUCGGGACGAAAAGGCCUUUCCUG
rnacentral:rRNA from 1 species